CAAUGCGAGAAAACACACAGCAACUUGCAGUGAAAAGAGAGGCCAAGAAAAGACAGAAGGCAGGAGAACGGAGCACCACACACACAGAGUAAGAAGAAACCGGAAAAUGCUAGGGAAAAUGCAUAAGUUUUUUGCAAGGACCCUCGACUCUCGGAUCGAGACCUGUUUUGCUGUAUGUCCGUUUUUUCUUUCUCUUUUUUUUCCUU
rnacentral:ribozyme from 11 species